CUAUCUCUCGAAAACCUCGGACUUCAGAGGGCGACAAUUCUGCGGGCGGAGCUUCGGAGGACUUUCCCCUGACACAGUCUUCCGCUGUGGUCUUGUGGAGUAAUGUGGGCGUCUAAGGAACAAUCCCGGCACGUCGCGCCUUGAGUUUUAUUUUAUCUUUUCCGCCCACUCCCCCCACCAGCACGACACUCAUUCAAACAAACACCAAACGCACGCACACACACACGUGCGCACUUACGACAAUAUCAAUACAACGGGAGAAAUUUUUCUAAAGAAUUUUCAUAAGAUCGGCAGUGCCUUCGAUAAAACAAGCAACAGGAUCCGCAACGACGCUGCAAUAGCAAUAAGUAGCAGGAUCAGCAGAAAAUGCCACAAUAUAUUUCGUUAAGCAAAACACGGUUUCCAUGGCGAUGAGCACGUGACAGGAUUUUAAUAAGGCUGGGCGCUUGUUUUUGUUUGAGUUCCUACCCCUACAUAAAAUAGCUAUAAUAUUCAUGUUUAAUUUUUAUCAUCGCUCAUACACAAAAGCUUUCUGUUUACAUUGUGGCGGUUCCAAAUAAGUAAUCGAACAUGAAGUCUGGACAAGGACCCCGGAGCCGGAGCUCUGGCCUUCCUAGUAAAAGUAUAAAAGCUGCUGAAAUAAAUAAAGAUAACCUAAAUGAUAUGGACAGGCUGACGUAAAAGCCAAAUAAAACGCAAAAGUAAGUCGAAGGGAA